CCCUUAGAUGUUCUGGGCCGCACGCGCGCUACACUGAAGGGAUCAGCGUGUUUUCCCUUCCCGAGAGGGACGGGUAACCCGCUGAACCCCCUUCGUGGUAGGGAUCGGAGCUUGCAAUUGUUCUCCGUGAACCAGGAAUUCCCAGUAAGCGCAAGUCAUAAGCUUGCGUUGAUUACGUCCCUGCCCUUUGUACACACCGCCCGUCGCUACUACCGAUUGAAUGGUUUAGUGAGGACUCCUGAUUGGCGCCGCCGCCCCGGCAACGGAGCAGCGGACUGCCGAAAAGUUGUUCAAACUUGAUCAUUUAGAGGAAGUAAAAGUCGUAACA
rnacentral:rRNA from 1 species